rnacentral:lncRNA from 1 species
AUGGUGAAGACAAACAUCUGGCUGAACUAUUUUCUGCCCUAUGAAGGAAAAAGAAGAAUCCUUUCACCAUCGUCCUACACCUUUUGGAACAGAGCUGGAUUGCAGCAGUCAGUUUACCCACUAAGAUCAAACGGCCGCAGAACCAGACACCAAGUAAUGCUCCACCAGUGACAACAGGAUUAGCACUGCCACGGCACAGCCUGUGGGCUCAGCAACAUCUCAGUUACACAGGUGAAAGCAUUGUUAUGGAUUCUUAACAUAAACAUUUCUAUUAGUAAAUGUAAAUAAUGUAUCAAGUUGGAUUUCUGUUCAAGUAUAUAAAAUCCCAGUUAGUCAUCAAGCAAUAGAUUAUGACCUUACGUGCAAAAUAAGUUGUGUUCAUCUGCUUUUAAUGAAGCACAGGCAUCUUUGCACUCUUUCCAUGUCACAGAGUGCUGUGUGGGGCACUUCGUUGAAUGCUGGGAAAGGGUGGGCAGUUAAAAUUCAUCUUAUUUUUCAUUUCAUAAUUCUGGUCAAGCAUUUUUUAGAUUUUGUUCUAAAUGAAUGAGUGAAGUUUCUGCUUACCACGCCUUCUCGUACAGAAAGAGGUAGCGAACCUUUUCAUACAAGCAGAUGAGGACAGACGAACUGCAUGGCAGGGGCUUCACACUCCUAUAUUAUAUGGGGGGAGUUAUUCAGCAGGGACACUUUACUGCAAAUGAGUAAAAAGAUUUCUAAGACCUAACAAAAAACUUCUGUUGCCUUAAUCAUUAACUUCUGGCAGUUCUUUUUCUUAAAUAUCAGGCAACUGGAGACACGGCACAUAAAUGAAGCAGAAAAAAAACUCAAAUACCAUGAACAUUUCUAUAGAUUAAAUAGAGAGCCACAAUAUUUUAUACCUUGUAUUUUUUACAUUUCCUGGCAGGAUUCUUUUUUUCAGAGCGCAGACACUUCCGCUUUCUCUUCCCACUGCUUCCAAACGUUGUUUUCCCCUGCUUCUCAACUCCUCUGUCUUCUUCACAACUGCAGCUUAACUACACAAACCAAUUAAUGUGAAUCCACUGUGCUUCCACCUACUGCUCAAAGCACAGAGUUAGACAUGAGGGACUUGCUCAGUGCUAUACAGAGAUUCCCGUUACAACACACUAAAAUGCAUAACUGGUACUCCAAAGACAGUUAAGGUUUCUAAACA